UGUUAAAAAUUUCAUCCAAUUCUACUGUUAAAAACUAGUGUAGAACGAACUAGCCAAACAAUUACAUAUAUCUCAUGCUGAUGUACAAGGACCAGUUUUUAACAAUAAAAAUGGAUGAAAUUUUUAACA
rfam:Gossypium raimondii Chr12_contig_854, whole genome shotgun sequence.